ensembl:lncRNA
AAGCAGCAGCAAGGAGAGCCUAAGGAAAAGAGAGACAUCAGGAAUAAUGAAGCAAUACUGCUUUCCAUCCAGUCAGCCCACAGCGUUCUCCUUCAUCGAAUUAUUAUUCCCCAGGCAAGAUGUAUUCCUCUACAAAUAAGAUCGUACUCGAUGAGAGAAUAUCAGUCCACUACAGUCUGUCUGUUUUUUGAAUAUUACCCUGGUUGACAGAUGUUUUGCCCCCUUGUUACCAUAGCUGUGGAUGCCCCACCCACGGAGGCAUUCAAGACCAGGCUGGAUGUGGGUCUGGACAGCCUGGUGUAGUGGUUGGCGACCCUUUACAUAACAAGGGGGUAGAAAUAGAUGACCUUUGAGGUCUUUUUCAACCCAGGCCAUUCUAUGAUCCUAUGAUGAUUCUAUAAUUCUAUGUUUCUAUGAUUCUAUGAAAAAAGCAAUAUGAAUCACAUUCAGCCAUCACUGAAGUAACUGAUAAAGCUAGUACCAAAUUUGUGGACCCUGGCUUUCACUUAUAAACUAUUUUGUUGACAAUGUACUAUAGAAAUGUGGAAUUGAAACUUCAGAGGAAAAUGUAUAUGUUAUAUAGACAGAUGUUUGUUAUAUGCACAGCUGCAGAAAUGCUUGCUGUGCAUAUUUGGUGAUAAUUUAUUAAAAUGCAACUCUAUAAUUUUUUUUCCUUUUAGGUUUUUAAAAUAUAUACAUGUAUAUUUUAAAUAUACAAAUAGACAUAGUUUCUCAUCACUGUAACUUUCUCACUGUGUUGUUCCCAAUCUGUUGUUUCACAAACAAGUGGACGCUCCUGGAAAGCAUAAUCCCCAAUUACACUCU